GCGCCUGUAGCUCAUUGGUAGAGCAUUUCCUAUAAGCCGCGUCAUUAAGGGGGCUGGUACUAGCCCCGGCCACACUGGCAUGUUGUGGCUACGCGCAAUGGCCGUGAGCUGGUUCGAUUCCAGCCAGGCGCA
rnacentral:tRNA from 2 species